rnacentral:rRNA from 1 species
GACGAACGCUGGCGGCGUGCUUAACACAUGCAAGUCGAACGGAAAGGCCCUGCUUUUGUGGGGUGCUCGAGUGGCGAACGGGUGAGUAACACGUGAGUAACCUGCCCUUGACUUUGGGAUAACUUCAGGAAACUGGGGCUAAUACCGGAUAGGAGCUCCUGCUGCAUGGUGGGGGUUGGAAAGUUUCGGCGGUUGGGGAUGGACUCGCGGCUUAUCAGCUUGUUGGUGGGGUAGUGGCUUACCAAGGCUUUGACGGGUAGCCGGCCUGAGAGGGUGACCGGCCACAUUGGGACUGAGAUACGGCCCAGACUCCUACGGGAGGCAGCAGUGGGGAAUAUUGCACAAUGGGCGGAAGCCUGAUGCAGCAACGCCGCGUGCGGGAUGACGGCCUUCGGGUUGUAAACCGCUUUCGCCUGUGACGAAGCGUGAGUGACGGUAAUGGGUAAAGAAGCACCGGCUAACUACGUGCCAGCAGCCGCGGUGAUACGUAGGGUGCGAGCGUUGUCCGGAUUUAUUGGGCGUAAAGGGCUCGUAGGUGGUUGAUCGCGUCGGAAGUGUAAUCUUGGGGCUUAACCCUGAGCGUGCUUUCGAUACGGGUUGACUUGAGGAAGGUAGGGGAGAAUGGAAUUCCUGGUGGAGCGGUGGAAUGCGCAGAUAUCAGGAGGAACACCAGUGGCGAAGGCGGUUCUCUGGGCCUUUCCUGACGCUGAGGAGCGAAAGCGUGGGGAGCGAACAGGCUUAGAUACCCUGGUAGUCCACGCUGUAAACGGUGGGUACUAGGUGUGGGGUCCAUUCCACGGGUUCCGUGCCGUAGCUAACGCUUUAAGUACCCCGCCUGGGGAGUACGGCCGCAAGGCUAAAACUCAAAGGAAUUGACGGGGCCCCGCACAAGCGGCGGAGCACGCGGAUUAAUUCGAUGCAACGCGUAGAACCUUACCUGGGUUUGACAUGGAUCGGGAGCGCUCAGAGAUGGGUGUGCCUCUUUUGGGGUCGGUUCACAGGUGGUGCAUGGCUGUCGUCAGCUCGUGUCGUGAGAUGCUGGGUUAAGUCCCGCAACGAGCGCAACCCUUGUUCACUGUUGCCAGCACGUUAUGGUGGGGACUCAGUGGAGACCGCCGGGGUCAACUCGGAGGAAGGUGGGGAUGACGUCAAGUCAUCAUGCCCCUUAUGUCCAGGGCUUCACGCAUGCUACAAUGGCUGGUACAGAGAGUGGCGAGCCUGUGAGGGUGAGCGAAUCUCGGAAAGCCGGUCUCAGUUCGGAUUGGGGUCUGCAACUCGACCUCAUGAAGUCGGAGUCGCUAGUAAUCGCAGAUCAGCAACGCUGCGGUGAAUACGUUCCCGGG